UUCCCCUCCCUCCCUCCCUCCCUUUUUCCUUCCUUCCUUCCCUCCCUUCUUUCUUCCUUCCUUCCCUCCCUCCUUCCUUCCUUCCUCCCUCUCUCCCUUCCCUUCUGUCUCUUUCCUUUCCCUACCCUUCCUUUCCCCUCCCUCCUUUUCCCUUCCCUUUCUUUCCCUUCCCUUCCCUUCUCCUUUCUCCCUUUCUCUUCCUUUCCUUUCCCUUUCCUUUCCCUUCUUUUCCCUUCCCCUCCCUCCCUCCCUUUCCCUUCCUUUCCCUUCUUUUCAUUCCCCUCCCCUCCCCUCCCCUCCCCUCCCCUCCCCUCCCAUUUCUCUCACUUUGUUGCCCAGGCUGGUUUUGUACUCCUAGCCUCAAGAUAGCCUCCUGUUUCCACCUCCCAAUGUGCUGGAAUUACAGCCCAAGCCUGACUCAUCCAUGA
rnacentral:lncRNA from 1 species